rnacentral:lncRNA from 1 species
ACCGCUUCUUUUUAUGACUUAUUUAAUGGCAAUGUGUUACGCAUUGACUCAAGUGUAUCUUGGACGCGCACAUAUGAUCCAUGUGAUGUGCCAGCUCAAUUAAUGAGCUCCUGAUCCAACGCCUCACGUUUUCUCUAUUUUUAUUUUCUGAUUUUUAUUUUUCAUUUUAUUUCUUUUAUUCCAUUUCAUUUCAAAAAAUCAUAUCUUACUCAUUUUUGGUCCAAAAAAUAUGAGACCAAUUGCAUUAUUU